UGGCGGCGUGCCUAACAAUGCAAGUCGAACGAGAAAGUGGAGCAAUCCAUGAGUAAAGUGGCGACCGGGUGAGUAACACGUGACUACCUACCUCCGAGUGGGGAAUAACUCCGGGAAACCGGGGCUAAUACCGUAUAACAUCGCAAGAUCAAAGCAGCAAUGCGCUUGGAGAGGGGGUCGCGGCUGAUUAGCUAGUUGGCGAGGUAAUGGCUCACCAAGGCGAAGAUCGGUAUCCGGCCUGAGAGGGCGCACGGACACACUGGAACUGAAACACGGUCCAGACUCCUACGGGAGGCAGCAGUGGGGAAUUUUGCGCAAUGGGGGAAACCCUGACGCAGCAACGCCGCGUGGAGGAUGAAGCCCUUUGGGGCGUAAACUCCUUUCGACCGGGACGAUAAUGACGGUACCGGUGGAAGAAGCACCGGCUAACUCUGUGCCAGCAGCCGCGGUAAUACAGAGGGUGCGAGCGUUGUUCGGAAUUAUUGGGCGUUAAGGGCGCG
rnacentral:rRNA from 1 species